UCGGAUUGUAGUCUGCAACCCGACUACAUGAAGCUGGAAUCGCUAGUAAUCGCGGAUCAGAAUGCCGCGGUGAAUACGUUCCCGGGUCUUGUACACACCGCCCGUCACACCAUGGGAGUCGGAAAUGCCCGAAGUCUGUGACCCAACCUACGGGAGGGAGCAGCCGAAGGCAGGUCGGAUGACUGGGGUGAAGUCGUAACAAGGUAAC
rnacentral:rRNA from 1 species